GGGGUGGGAGUGUCUCUUAGACCCAUGUAUGGCUGCGAGAGCACAGAAACUGCCCCUCACCUGGGAAGCAUGAAAGCCCAGCACCACCUGGUGAAGUCCUGAUCCUCCUUCAAGAACCAAAGGACCCCUUUCAUGUCCAACAGAGCCUUACCUGCUACAGUGUUGAUCUCUCCUGCCUCUGUCUUCCACACACUUCAUUCAUCCCUCCAAGAAACAGCUGCUGCUCCAGUAAACCAGCUCCUGACCUCUGGCUUCCUAGUGAACCAUUCCUCUGCCUGAUUGGGAAAGCUCCUAGUAACAAAGAACCAAAUGCCUCUGAAAUCCAACAAGAUCCCUUUCCUCCUAUUGAACUAGAAGUAUAGGCAAGUUUGGACUUUCUCAGAAACAUCUUGCCCUAAACAUCCUUCAAGUCGUUCUGUGGCAACAGAUCCCUCUUGGUGAUGAGGAACUGAAUGUUUCUCCUUAAAUUUGGGGAGAAGAGAAAAAUGUUUACUCUUGUCAUUUCUAUUCAACUUUGUACUGGAGGUCCUAGCCAGUUUAAUAAGGGAAGACAAAUAAAUAAGAGCAUACAGUUGAAAAUGAAGAAGAAGAAAAUUUGCUUGUAUUGUAGACAACACAAUCAUCUAUAUAGAUAAUCACAAAGAAUC